rnacentral:rRNA from 1 species
AAGUCGAGCGGUAGCACAAGAGAGCUUGCUCUCUGGGUGACGAGCGGCGGACGGGUGAGUAAUGUCUGGGAAACUGCCUGAUGGAGGGGGAUAACUACUGGAAACGGUAGCUAAUACMGCAUAAYGUCUUCGGACCAAAGUGGGGGACCUUCGGGCCUCACGCCAUCAGAUGUGCCCAGAUGGGAUUAGCUAGUAGGUGGGGUAAUGGCUCACCUAGGCGACGAUCCCUAGCUGGUCUGANAGGAUGACCAGCCACACUGGAACUGAGACACGGUCCAGACUCCUACGGGAGGCAGCAGUGGGGAAUAUUGCA